CAACAAAACACUGACCUUGGUCCACAGACAACACCCACGUCCACGUGGUGGGUGGGACUGGCUCCGUCAGAGGAUGGGAAGAUGAGAAGUGCUUGUCGCAGGCCUGGAGAUGGGGACCACCCAGGCAUGCAGGGGAUGCUGCCUCUCCUCCAUCCAACAACAAGCCUGCGUGUGCCCAGCCCCCUCUGGUACACGCAUUGCUCCCCAUCCUCGGCAUUGAUCAAUUGAAAAUAAGACCUUGGAAGAACCCCUUGCAAAGCUGACAUUGUACGAGCCAAGGCAACCUGGCCGUGGGGUCAGCUGCACAGGCCAGGAGCUCGAGGGUGGUGGCUGGCAGAAAGUGCAGUCCAAAGUACUCUGUUUUGUUUUGAUUGUGUUUUAAAAUGGGACAAAUAACAGCAUGUGUGUUUGCUGAUGGGGAGAAUCCAGGAGAAAAACAGUGAAGUUGAGGUGAGCCUCACAGGGUCAGGGGGAAGACAGGGGAUCCCGAAGAUAACGUCUGCUACGAACUCAAUUGCAUCCGCCCCGGGCCCUAAGUUGAAGCCCUAAUCCCCACGUUGACUGCAUUUGGAGAAGGACCUUCAGCACAUGAUGGAGGGACCGAGAUGCCCAAAUCCUGGCCCUCCUGCUGGACUUUCAUUUUAAAGAACAAUAAAAUUAAUGUUAACUUCUAGCAGCUUCCAAGCUCUGUGGCCCCGGAGAGGGUCAGCGAGGGGCCUCCACUGUCUGAGUCCGCUCCUGGCAACGCCUGCUCUCUGCACUCAGAGGCCCGGUCCCGGCAGCUGCCACGUUGCUCAGAAGUUCUGGCAGGGGGAGCCUGAAACCCCUGUCUGCUGGCGACACUCCCGGAGCAGCAGGAAAUCUCUACAUUUUAUUUUUUUUCUUAACAGACAAAAGUAUUUGACUCCAGAAUGAUUUCCAGGAAUUACAGUAUGAGAACUUAGUCUUUGAGAUUUUUAUUUUCUUCUUAAAAAAAUAAAAAUGAAAUCAAAGCAGAAGACACUGGUUGAGCAGACAGCACACUAGCACAUUCCACUUCGCAACAAAACCUGCG
rnacentral:lncRNA from 1 species